rnacentral:misc_RNA from 2 species
AACGCACAUUGCGCCCUCUGGUAUUCCGGGGGGCAUGCCUGUUCGAGCGUCAUUACAACCCUCAAGCUUUGCUUGGUAUUGGACAUUGCCAGUUUCUGGCAGGUCUUAAAAUCAGUGGCGGUGCCAUUUGGCUUCAAGCGUAGUAAUUCUUCUCGCUUUGGAGAUCCAAGUGGUUACUUGCCAAUAACCCCCAAUUUUUUCAGGUUGACCUCGGAUCAGGUAGGGAUACCCGCUGAACUUAA